ensembl:miRNA Gm23365 predicted gene, 23365
GGUUUCUCUGUGUAGCCUUGGCUGUCCUGGAACUCACUCUGUAGACCAGGCUGGCCUUGAACUCAGAAAUCCACCUGCCUCNCCUCCCGAGUGCUGGGAUUAAAGGCGUGCGCCACCACUCCCG